AUACCAUGAUGCUGAAUAUGAAUUUCUUCACCUGAUUUCUUUGAUGAAUUUCGAAUUAUCUGAGUAUU